rnacentral:rRNA from 1 species
CAGUAGCCGCGGUAAUACGUAGGGUGCAAGCGUUAAUCGGAAUUACUGGGCGUAAAGCGUGCGCAGGCGGUUAUAUAAGUCAGAUGUGAAAUCCCCGGGCUCAACCUGGGAACUGCAUUUGAGACUGUAUGGCUAGAGUGUGUCAGAGGGGGGUAGAAUUCCACGUGUAGCAGUGAAAUGCGUAGAUAUGUGGAGGAAUACCGAUGGCGAAGGCAGCCCCCUGGGAUAACACUGACGCUCAUGCACGAAAGCGUGGGGAGCAAACAGGAUUAGAGACCCCCGUAGUCCCUGUCUCUUAUAC